rnacentral:rRNA from 1 species
AGCAGCCGCGGUAAUUCCAGCUCCAAUAGCGUAUAUUAAAGUUGUUGCAGUUAAAAGCUCGUAGUUGAAUUUCGAGACCGGUUUACUGGUCGUGCUUUUGUACGUACUGGUAUUAUUGGUUUCUCCUUUCUGACGAAUCUUAAUGCCAUUAAUUUGGUGUUUUGGAGAAUCAGGACUGUUACUUUGAAAAAUUAGAGUGUUUAAAGCAGGCUCACGCUUGAAUACAUUAGCAUGGAAUAACGGAAUAGGACGUUUGAUUCUAUUUUGUUGGUUUCUAGGAUCGACGUAAUGAUUAAUAGGGAUAGUUGGGGGCAUUAGUAUUCAAUUGUCAGAGGUGAAAUUCUUGGAUUUAUUGAAGACUAACUACUGCGAAAGCAUUUGCCAAGGAUGCUUUCAUUAAUCAAGAACGAAAGUUAGGGAUCGAAGGCGAUCAGAUACCGUCG